GAUGCCAAGUGUACAAUGAAAAUUGACAACAGAAGUGUCAUGGUCUUGGUGGAAAAAGCCUUGCUCUUCAUUGACCUCUGUUUAAUAAUGGCUGGUGAUAGAAAACUAUCAGGAAUGCUUCAAGCUGGCAAUGGAGGGAAAUGUAAAAGACACUGAAAAAUCACAAGGUUUAGAAUAUGCUCACAGUCAGUCUUCAAGAUACUCACCUUAAAGGUUGCAGUGUGUUUUAGGAGACUUUGUCAGAACAGUACUUUAUACCUACAUACACUGGAGAUACCAGACCCAGCAGAUAACUACAGAUAUAUUGACACAGAACCUGAAAUUAAUUGCAUAUCCCAACACAACAUAAAACUUUAAACUGUUAAAUAGGCAGUGAGGCAUUUGUGUGUAACUUUCAUUAUUUGAAAUGAAAUUUCUUAUUUAUU